rnacentral:rRNA from 1 species
AUUUAUUAGAAUGGAAUUAAUAAUGAUACCUGCUCUAUGAAAAUUUAAAUGGCUGCGGUAUUCUGACUGUAUUAAGGUAGCAUAAUCAAUAGUUUUUUAAUUGAAGACUUGAAUGAAUGGUUUUUUUAGGUAAGAGGUUUUGUAAAAUUUUUUUUGAAUUUGAAUUAAAAGUAAAAAUGCUUUUAUUAACCUUUGGGACGAGAAGACCCUAGAAGUUUUAUAUAGGAUUAUAUUUAGUUGGGGUGAUUAUGGAAGAUAAGGAUCUUUUAUUUGUGAAGAUGAGUUGAGAAAAAAUUACUCUAGGGAUAACNNNCGUAAUUUUAUUGAAGAGUUCUUAUUAUUAAUAGAGAUUGCGACCUCGAUGUUGAAUUAAAUUAUUUUAAGGUGUAGGGGCUUUAAGAAAUUAGUCUGUUCGACUAUUAAUUGUUUACA